rnacentral:rRNA from 1 species
GAUGAACGCUGGCGGCGUGCCUAAUACAUGCAAGUCGAGCGAACGGACGAGAAGCUUGCUUCUCUGAUGUUAGCGGCGGACGGGUGAGUAACACGUGGAUAACCUACCUAUAAGACUGGGAUAACUUCGGGAAACCGGAGCUAAUACCGGAUGAUAUCUUGAACCGCAUGGUUCAAAAGUGAAAGACGGUCUUGCUGUCACUUAUAGAUGGAUCCGCGCUGCAUUAGCUAGUUGGUAAGGUAACGGCUUACCAAGGCAACGAUGCAUAGCCGACCUGAGAGGGUGAUCGGCCACACUGGAACUGAGACACGGUCCAGACUCCUACGGGAGGCAGCAGUAGGGAAUCUUCCGCAAAGGGCGAAAGCCUGACGGAGCAACGCCGCGUGAGUGAUGAAGGUCUUCGGAUCGUAAAACUCUGUUAUUAGGGAAGAACAUAUGUGUAAGUAACUGUGCACAUCUUGACGGUACCUAAUCAGAAAGCCACGGCUAACUACGUG